GGAUGUGGUGUCUAUAUUUGCUUUUGAAGACUUGUCUUCCCUCUUAGCAUAAAUAAAGAUAUUUGAAAUUCCAGAAGCUUAAUCAUUCUCCAAUGGCACAAAAGCUGAGUGGGAUUUGGUGGAGGGCAGAAUCUGAAUAAGCCCCAUUUAGGAUGCAUGAAAAUUGCUUGAGAAGGAUUUAUAAAGUAAGCCAAUUUAUACAAGGUAUUCCUUUCUGAAUUACUUUGUAAUGACUCAAUUAGCUUUCAUUUCUUCACAAAGGAGAUUUAGCUGCAUAAAUUAGCUUAUCAUCAUUGAGGAUGUGUCACUGCUAAAGGACAGUUUAUAGAUACAACAUGCAGUUGCUGUCAAACCUAUAAGAAUGUAAUAUAGACAUCUGUGUAUACUUUGUGCUUGAGCAGAACAGACUUCUGUCAUUCAGAGACUAACAGGGGACAACAGGUUGCCCAGGGGACCAACAAUGUAGACAUCUCUGAAAAGGUCAUCUUGACACAGGCUCUGACAAUCGACCCACAGCUCUGUCUUCUUUGAUAAAAAUCAGAUAAACUUAAGACCACUAAUUGAUCUGCAGCCUGCUUAAAUGUUGGCCAUGCAUAUCUUCAUUGCAUAUGAUUAUACUGCAGAAAGCAAAUGAACCGGCCUAAGAAAUGCCAGGCUCCAAUGACUGCAGAAGGAAAGGUGAUGGCGAUAUGAAAAUUAGAAGGGAACAGCACUACCCAGGAAUUGUAGUAUGGGGGGGGGGGCGAGGGAAGUCACUGCUGUCUUUUGUUUGUGUUAGCAAGUUGCCUUGGUGUUAAUCCACACUAAAGAAGGGAGUUGGAGAACUGGAUCAGGUACCCUAGAAUAGGACAACUUUUCUUAAAAGUAUACUAACAUUUGCUUUACUGGCAUUACCAUUUAGAUACUUGGCUGACUUACGGAUUUGGAAACCCAACACUUAUUCUUUAUCGAAACACAUCCAAAUCCCAGACAUCAGCUGAAUGCCUAGUGUGCUUUGUCAUUCUGUCCUGAAAGAAUGAACCUGAGGUUAUCUUUUUCGUCAUACUUGCUCCACAUCAUUCUUCCACUGCUGUCAGAGAAAGGGUGGAUGAGGAGUAUGUUCAGGAAAUUUCUUCACUGUACCCUUCCUGUUGUAGCAUGUGGAAAGGAAACAGGCCUGACUUCCGGCCUCUGGCAGGAAACUAUAUGAACAGGUUGUUGUGGACAGUUUAGGCUAAUGUUUGCUGCAAAGGAAACAAAGUUUUAAGUCAUCAGAUGUUGCUCUUAAAAUGGACCACUACAAUAGGUUAAGUAAUAUUUCUUAUCAUAGAAAAGUUACUCCCACUACUCCUCAAAACUUUUUGGAAACUUGGCAUGCAUUUACAUGAACACAAUAUCAGCUGGCUUCACUUCAAGGCCUUUAGAACACAAAGCCUAAAGUCUAUUCAGAAAUGAACUAAAAUAUCAUACGACAGAGUAUUUAAGCAUCACCUAGAAUUUGUGAUGCUCCUGACAGUACCUUCUUCUUGUGGAACACCAUGGUUAUCCACUUUGCCUUCCUCAAAAAGUACCAAAAGGUAGUUCUGUUUAGAUUCUAUGUAUUCAGUCACUAUAGGAUUGUCUUGAUUUCAGUAGGUCUUAAUCUGGGUAGGAUUGGAACUUCAGUGAACCGUAAGCAUGAACUCUAAAUAGUGUACAUCACUCUUUCAUAGAAAGGUUGUGCUAGGUAAUAGUCUGUAGCCUCUAGGAUUUCUCUGUUAUUUAUAAGGCUAAUCCUGAUAAAUUUCAAAUUCAACCAUUGGAUUAAGUUCUAGAUCAAAUAAAUCUCGAUAAAUGGUGUUACAGUAUAUUUAGCAAGUACAAACAAAUGCUAUUUGUUGCUUUCAAUGGGUUUGUUUUAAACAAUCUUCUUAUAACUUAGCAGAUAUAUGCUGCAGCACUGAGCUAUCUAUUUGUCAGUUGGCUUAGCAUAAAGAAUUAGAUAGAUUUAAAAUAUCAGAUCUUUAUAUACUCUUGGAUUCUUUAGGAGUACCGUCAUACAUCGACCAAAGAUCCACCAUUUUUAACAAUAGUCAGGAAGCUCACAAACCAGUAUGAUAUGGUAGUUCUUUUGCAGUGGGAUAUACUCAUUUCACCGUAAUUCUCAUUUCUCACUUCAUGGUAUGUGAUGCAAUAUUUGCUCCAUAAGAUGCACAGACAUUUCCACCCAGUUUUGGAGGGUUUUAUGGAGAGAAAAAUAUGAUAUAUAUUUAAAGCCAUAAAGUAAAUAUACUCCCUUUAUUUAUUUAUCAGCAUAAAUACAACAAAAAUAUGAUAGUUUAUAUACAUGGAAGCAAAGAAUUGGUUGUUAUGCUUCUAACAUUGGAAUUGUAAGGAGAAUUAAUAUGAUGCUUAUUUGGCACCAUAUCCUCUCUAUAUUGCUGUCUUAAAAUGACCAAAAUCCUAUGAGAUUGUCACAUUUUUUUCUCUUUCUUAUGAAUUCUCAGGCAAGAAAACAUGCAAUCUGAUAAGACCUCAAUUUCUUAAAGUGAAAAAAAAAGACUUUUGAAUACUUAUGCUUUAGCAUUUACAGCCUCACAUGAAAUUAUAUAAUACCUGAAAAUAUUGCUGACCCUGUUUGAAAGUAAUGUAUAUUUCAGCAUUUCUCAAGUUACUGCAGCUGUGAUAAGAUAACUCUAACUGGAUUCCUUCCAACUCUUCUAAUUCUUAUCCAGUGCAAAACUUUAAAAUGUUGAAUCACCAUAUCAGAAGUUCCACAAACAUUCCAGAGUGCCCAUUUCUCCCAACAUCUGUGGACUGACAUUCGUCCAAAUAUUAUGCUAAUUACAGCUGUUGUAUAAAAAUAAUAUAUAAUCAAGCUUAAUUUGCCUGCACAUGGUGUUGAAAAAGUGACCUGUCUGUAUCAUAAAAUAUUAAUAUUUUGUCUUAACAUUUUUAUGAGCUGACUUUUAAAAUCAAGUGGACACAAUAACAUAUUCUUGAGAGCAUCAUAAUAAUUAUUUCCCAACAUGAAAUUCACUUUGGACAAUAGUUUGAAUACUUCAAAUAACCUCUGCCUCCAAACAUCUAAACAUAUAAUGUUUUACUCUGAAGAUUGGUUUGCCAUAUCCCAAUUCCCUAAAUGAAGGCAGCCUGGUAUGCAUAUUAUGCAAAUCCCUGUUUCAUUAUGCAAAG